UUCAGAGCCCAGCAGAAUGAAAUCCUCAGUUUAGCCACAAACAGGUACAGCACAGACAAUGCAAUCCUCUCCAUCCCAAUCUGCCACAGUGCCUGAGCCCUUUGUGACAGAGAAACCCACUGCUAGGGGCAAGAGUGGGAGCUUAUUCUUUCUGCCUCUUUCGGUCGUUGGUUUCU
rnacentral:sRNA from 1 species